GGGGGUGCCUUCGAGGGACGGGGUACGGUGGAUGGUGGUGAAGCGGCAGAGGGGUUCAAGGAUGCCAGGUGGGCUGGGCAGGUAAAACCCGUUGCGACACGUACAAACUCACAAACAACCAUACAUACAACCAUACAUACACACAUACGUGCAGAGAUACCCCACUUCGUCAGUGCGACAUGGGUCUCUCACCUCCUUUCCCCCUUCCCCCGACCAAUCUCCCUAUCCACCUGCUGCCCCAUCAAUUAAACCCGACCCCGCCAACCCCCUCCGCUCCCUGGCCCGCACUCACCCGUCGCCCGAGUCAGCAAAUUGUUGGCAACACGUUCGUCCGGAAAGCCGUAAUACUUGACAAUCUGGACACGUGCAUGUGGUGGUGUGUGUGGUGGUGUGUGUGUGUGUAUGUGUAUGUGUAUACCAGCAGGUGAGGAGAGGGGGGGGCCGGGUGAGUAGGUGAGGGAAGGAGACUGGAGGAGAGAGACCAGGAAGUGUUGGGAAAGGAGGAAAGCGCUCUCCAAAAUCAAAGGAGCGGGACGGGAAGGCAAAACCUUAGGUCGGGAUAUGCCGUAUACGAACAACGACACGCCCGCACACUAUAAAACCUGACCGAAGGUGGUCUACCUUGGAGGUUGAACUCACUUUCCGCGCGCGGGGGGGUACCGGAGGUAGCACAAGCAAGGGGGCUAGUGCGCACGCAGGGUUGGUGGGUGGGAGCGAGUUCGCAAUGCCAAUGCCAUGCAAACAAGCGACGCGGCUACUGCAUCUUGAAUUCUUCAGGCAAGGGAGAGGGGGUUCAGUGGUGCCGGUGUUGUCAUGGUAUGCCGAUCCCCCAUCCGCGACCCCAAACCUUACCUCUUACGCGCCAUACACACCAGCGCAUCCCCCCCAUCGAAUUCUACUCCCCCCCCACACACACACACAUGCGCGCGCGCGAGCAGAGACGACCCCCACACCCUCACCCGCAACCCCCACACACACACCUCCUUGGGUGUCAUACUCGCCACACGCUUCAAGCAGGUCCCGAUUUGUGGCGGGUACUUGGUGCCCAUCUGCUCUCUCCCAUCGGGAAGAUAGCAACGGUAAUCGAAAAGCAGGCGCGGGUCGGCGAAGGCGUGGGGUAUGGCGUUACCGCCCGUCACGGUGGGCAGCUUCAGCACGUAGUGGUUGGCUAGGCGGACGAUCUCCUGCCUGACAGUACGGCAGGGAAUAAAUGUUUUUUGGGGGGAAAAGGGGGAAGGGAGGUUAAGCGGUAGUAACGGAGGCGAGGUUCUGGUUUGGUUUCCUCUUGGAAAUUUGCGAGGCGUGUGUGUGUGCGUGUGUGUACAAGAGGGGGAAAGACACUAUCUUGUGUGCCGUGCUUACCUCGGGAUUUCCUGGCCCCGUCUUCCCGCCAUGCUUCAUUUCAAUUUUCUUUCAGGUUUUUUAUAUCAGUCAUUUCACCAUGGGCCCCAAAACCCGCACGCCCCUUUAACCCUUUUCACACAACCCCUUUCCCCCGACCCCCCGUUGCAAAGGUCCUAAGCCACAAUAGAGUCCUGGGUGCUGUGCUGUCUUUUGACCCUUAGGGGUUUAGUUUUUUUACAUAAUCCGCUCCCUUACAACCCAUUUCACCCCUCGCCCCGUUCGCGUAUGUGUGUCUUGCACAUGAUUUCCCGUUCCGUCCCGUUCCGUCCCGUUCCGUCCCCUCCCGGCCCCUCCCCCGGUAAACCCCCUUCCCUUACUUUUGGGUCGUAGGCACCAGCACCGAAUCAAACGCGCAGUUGCGCCACAUGUGCUGAAGACACGACUCAUUGUCGAUGAGCUUGAAGUUUCCGUCUUCUUGGAUCAGCAAGUUUUGCGCGUGGCGGUCGCAUUGACUGGUCAACAGGUCAAAGAUGGCCGCGCGUAUGACACGCGUCGUGUUUAGUCGGUUGUUGAACAGGUCAGCAAUGGUCUCCAACGGCAGCCGCUUAGGAACGCCCUUGAAGAGCACGUUCUCCAAACUGACUCCCUCCACGUACUCCAUCCAUAAGCCCCACCUGAACAAAACAACAAUAACAACACAGAGGGAGCGAGAGAAAGGGGAGUGUAACAUAAACGGAGAGGGGAAGGAAAGGAAAGAAAACCCAAAGCAGACGAAGGCGGUCUGUCACAACCGUCACAAACCAACUUCCGUCCGAGUACAUCAACCAACCGUAGGGAAACCCUUUCUCAACCCCACACCCCCAGGCAAUAACGCCAUAACUAACAAAAACCGCCUUCCCAGCCCCCCCCCUUUCCCCAGCCUCCAGUCCACUGCCCCCCUUUCCCUGGGCUCCCCUACUGGGCUCCCCCCUUCCCUUAGGCUGCCCCAACUCGCCAGUGGAUGGGAUACCCCACUCCGGGCAGUAUCCCCAACACGGGGGCCAGCCACAUGCGGGGAAUGAGGUCCUGUAUGUAUAUCGGGGUCGGGGGAGGGGGGUUGCAUGGAGGGGGGAAAAGGGGCAAGGUGGGAGGCGGGGGGAAAGACGAACCAUGACCGAGUGAAACUGCUGCCAGGGCAAGAGUGUACCAGGAGUAGAACUGGGGAGGCGGGGGGGAACAUGGAAGAGGUAGCACGGCAAACAGCCGGGGAGGGGGGCAGGCGGGGCGGAAUCAUCAUAUGCAAGGAACCAGGAAUGAACUGCCACGGCGUCCAAAAGGCAGGAGGGGAGGGAGGUAUAUGAACGUGGGUCCCUGCUGGCUUCAUGAAACUCUUUGUAAUACGCGGCGUCACAUCCAGCUUCAUGUCCAUCGUCACAUCCAGCUUCAUGUCCAUCUGUCUGUCCAUUCGUCUGUCUGUCUGCGCAUGCCCUCGUUCUUUAACCGUCCAACCGCCUCACACCUAAAUCCGGUCUGAUCUGGUGGCGCCUUUGUGUAUAUGAAGGUUCCGGAUUCGGGAGAUCUAGGUUUACUAACGCUGCUGAGGUGUGGAGAUGAGGUCUAGUUGAUGGACUGAGUUUCGCAUGCUGAGAUGGUGGUGAUGGCUGACCUGUCUCUACGGAUGUCGGGUGACUGGAUGAGGAGGGGUCUAGUUGGCAGGACCCAGACCGCCGUCUGUUGUACGGUGUAAUCAACUUUCAAUGUAUAUAGUCCAUGGCCUCCCGGCUUUGACGAAACCCCCCGCACUCGUGCGGCACUUGUAACUUGUAACUUGAAACCUGAAUCCGCCGUAUUCCUAAGACUCAUGGUGCCAAGUGCCCUUCCCGGCAUCCCAUAUCAUCUCAUCCCAGUCGGCAAUCUUCUUCGACCUGCCCUAUACCCGAUGCCGCCGUUCCCCCUGUCCCCUGCUUCUUCCCCCCUUCGCCCUCGCCCUCUCUCCCCCCCACUACCUCGUCGUACCGUGAAUCCGCAAUCUUGCGACAGCUUGUCCAGCGCCAGGAGAUGCCUCAUGAUCUCGGCAAUACGCACCGGGUUGCAUGUGGGUUUAGAGCCGGUUACACGCUUAGAGAUGGGUAUGCAGUACACCUUGACCACAGCCUCGCCGGAGGGGGUCAUGUUCGUGUUCGUACGGAAAAUCCAACUGCGGUACGGCAGGACCAGCGCGGAGUCGGCGGGCAGGGAGGGACAAGGCAGGUCCGGGGGCGCAGUUCAACCAGGGGCAUGUGUAUGUGUAUGUGUGCGUAUGUGUGCGUGUUGGGGGCCACCCGUCACUACUAACCCCGAGGUUAGCAGUUUUGGCGGAGAUUUUUUAUGGACCUAUAGGGGCCCCCACGGGGACCUUACUAUCCUCAUUGCUCAGUGACGACCAGUCCUCCUCAAGUGUCGACCCACGGGUCAGUAGUGACCCAUGCAGUCGAGGGGGCCGACGGAUCAGCCAGAGCGCGCGCGGCCGUAAACAGGUAAAUCCAACAAAAGCUGUGUUACCACCACCACCUGCCUGUUCGUGGCGCCCAUCUCGCUAGAGUAGGUGUUGUUCAGGAAGAUGAUGUGUUCGGAGAUGAGUGUGAGAUUGUGGUGGCAGCCGUAGCAUUCUGCGCACUCGGGCAGCGAGGCCAUGUCGUUUUGUGAUUGCGGACGGUAGCUGGAAGGUUUGAAUUGGAUAGGUACGAGCGGAUCCAGCUCCGGGUCGUACAUCGGAGCGCGCUUCUUCCGUAUGGGUAGGACCUGCUUUGCGGUAGUUGUGGCAAUGCGAGGACCGCCGCCAGCGGCUGCGGCGGUAGCUUGGGAUAGUGUUCGAGCAUGGGGGUGGGUUAAACUGGAAGUAGCGGCGGCCGUUGCGCUGCUGGCUGUUGCGGAGUCGGCGGCGGCUGAUGCCAAGGCGGAUCCGCUGGAACCGUCCGGGGGAAUCUCACCGAGAUGGCACUUGUGGCAUAACCGGCACUGGGAAAUAUGCGGCAUGGCCGCGUCCGCCGACUGCGAUAGCGAAUCAUGUCAACGGCAGCGGACGGAGGUUAUCAGCCGGGCCUGGAUCAGCGGAGAGAUAAAUGAGCAUUACUUACGCCUAUGAGACCUGCCCAUCCAAGCGCAAGGAUGAGCAGACUACGAGGGGUUGGUUGGACUCCCAUUGUAAUGGGCUGGUAACGGUUUCCUGCUACUCGAGGAAUAUUCUAGUUCGUUGUAUAUAUCUAUCUGCCAUCUGGAGCAAAAGAGCCUAGCGUCUGCAACAUUUCCUGUGUCUUGUAAGGUCCCAGUUUAUCAAAAGCUAAUGGGCGUGAUAUACAAAAUGCUGCAGUAAUCUUUUUCUUUGUGCCGAGUACAUAUGCUAUACACGGAGCAUAGGAGCGCGGUUGUGACGCUUAUCGGCAUGUUAAUGCGUGCAGCUCGCAAUACGGUAUACGAACAAGAUUUAGUGAUUCCGCACGCGCGUGAGAUAUGAAUAUUGAUCACAAAUCAUCUUUAAACUGCGAUGACCAGCAAACCUAUGAUAAUAGUAUUGUUGCCAAAAAAGGUCUUGCGAAAAUGUUUCGCAGGACCUGCUUAGUGCCUUGCGAGAACAGCUCUAUGACUUAGCUCGUCAAAGGAGGGCCUGUAAAGCUUGAAUGUUUAAGAUAAGACUGGGUCGAAGUCCCUGGAGUCCCGGCUAAAGCACGGUUGGACUCCUCGGCAGGAGGAACCCCGUUGUCGAGAAAACGAUGCGCAAGGGCAGGAAUGCUUUGGGUCCAAACCAAUGUAAGCGCCAGGAUUAUAACCCAGGCGGGAUGUGACUGUUCACCCACCAGCUAGGAACGGGAAGUUGGGUUGCAGCUUACGUCCACGUUUACGGAUGGAUGCAGCAUAGGGGGGCCAACAAGGGGCUGGAUAUCAUGUCUGGAUUGCCCGGAUUCAUACUGAUGACUUUCGCAGCCUUGUUCACAGUUAGUGUCAGCAACGGCCCGCGCGAGCCGUGGACUCCUGUUUGCUACCUUCGAUCUCCUGGACAUGUUGCCUCCAUCUAAGCUCAUGUACUGGCCGGUGUAAGGUAGUUGGCAGCCGUAAUGGCUCCAGGAUAAGACCUGCCAGUUAGAGAUGGAGAAGCGCGGCGCAGGUGCUGCUGGUGCCACCGAUGCCGAGUGCCAUCUCUUUGUCAUCUCUCUCUCUCCCUUUUCCGUCCUCUUUAUGAAUCUUUCCCCAGGUUGUUCCUGCUGCCAAAUGGUAAGCCUGUUCAAAUUAAAUCAUCUGUUACCCACCUGGAUAGAACAGGUACACGGAACAACACAGGACAGGGCGGGACAACCCAGGACAGCCCAGGACAGCACGCAUGAUACUCAUUAAGCUGAGGGAGAUGGCCGAUAAAGGCGGGAGAGCUGCACCUGGUAUCAUUCCGCUCGGUUCCGGUUCCUGCCGUCUAACGGUUUUAACGGCUCCUUCAUUCCAUUACGCUCGAAUUGCUUCCUAUCUCUAGCUAACCAUCACAUGGUUUUACGUUUAUGCGCAGAAGUGAUCUCUAUGAGACACCUAAGCUGCUGAACUAUCCUUCGUGCUUUGCAGCAGCUAGUAAUGUGCGAUACUGUCUAGCAGAUGUGCUUUUUCCACACGUGCAAAAAACAACCCCUUAAUACCUACGAUCUAACUAACUGCCAUUGCUUCCUUACAAAAUGCUGCAGCGGCUCCUUGCGGCCGCAUGGCAAGGCAGCGCAUUAUCCUUUAAAUUAGCCACACCAUGUUUUAAUAAACAGCGACAGAUUUGCGCUAGUGCCUGUUGCGCAGACUUGCGGGAAUUUUUCGAUUGGGAAUCGCGGGAUGGGAAAGGCAAUGAAGCCUACGGUAAGCAACAUAUGGGGCAUCGGCGGCAGCAGUGUGGUCGUCAGGAGCAACUUGCGGACCACGUCGCGCAGGGCGAGCGUGGAACCUGGACGAGCUGCGGAACAAAUCCUGGCAGGACCUCCAUAAGCUCUGGUGGGCGUCUGUUCGAUGCUUUGAAUGCAACCACAUUCCGCCUUUACUCCGCAAGGUGUAGGGAGCUGUACUUUUUAAAGCCGAUUCAGGCCCUUUCGAACCGCACGAUUCAGCCCAACCCAGCCCGACCUGCCCAACCCAUCGUCUUGGCCAGCACGCUCUGGAGCCAAAUUCAGCCCAGCCUGUAACAGUGAAGCUAGCAAGAUCAGCAAGACCCCAUAGGACACAAACAGGAAGUGCGAACCCCCACACGCGGUCCAUCUCCCGCUGUUUCCCCCAACAACACAUACACCGCUGUCUCCCGCACAGGUACGUGUGUGUCAAGGAGCGCAACCUGCUGCUGACCGAGAUGGGCUUCAAGAACAUUCCAAAAAAUGCCGCGGAGCAGAGGGCUCGGGGCAUACCUCCCGGAACCGACAUGGUGGAGCAGGACCAGCACAGGCUGAGAUACAAGGAGGUAAGAAAGCCAUCCGCAUGCCUGCGUGUAGGUAUAUGCGUAGGUGUGUAGGUGUCUGAGGAGGGGACGAGGGUGUUUAGGAAAGCUUUGGUUGUCGUCCAGCACCUUAUCGCGGCAGGAAAGCUGCUGCAGCGCUGAAAUCAACCACAGCACGCUGCACUUUAUUAAUCCUACACCUCACCAAAGAACCUCUACCGGAAGACAAGUUAUCCAUGGAGGCUUUGGGGAUACACGAUACGUUUACGAGUAUUUCAGUAAUCAGCGUUAGAGUAAUAAAGGGAUGCGAUAUAGGCGUGGGUGGAGAGAUACAGGGGGCUGGGGACCCAUGGCGCCUGAGGGAUUGGGGAGCCCGAUCGGACUUUGAGACGUAGGGUGUCUCGCGGUUUGGGCAGUGGGGAAAGGGAAAGGGGAGAUGGGAUUGGGGGUGAUGGGGCAACAGGGGGUGCGGUUUUGAGGUAAUGCCCACUUCCAAGGGCACUGACGGCGCCGUCGUGCACAGUGUUGCUGUACGGGAGGGCCCUGGAGCAGGACUACGGAGGCCUCAUGACUACUAAAUCCUUGCUGCUGCUGCUGCUGCUGGUGUUGUCAUUUCAGCUAUUAACCCUGCUAUAUGCUGUACAAGUCACGAGCUAUACCCCUGCUAUAUGUUUCCUGAUCCAGAUCUCCUACAACCUGUGCCAUCAGUUCCGCACUUCCUAACCCCAUAUCUCAUCUGGGUUCGCCGUGGGUCAUAAAUAUUCCUGAUGCAGUAUUUGUCUUCUCCUGGAACAUCCGUCUGUCGUCUGUGCUUCGUCGUACGUACCCCACGUCUCCUCACCCGUGCCUCAUCUGCAUGUUCACGCUCGCGUUCGCCUUCACGUUCCGGUCACCUUCGGGCUCCCAAGUGUGCCAUAAUUCUCCCCUGUUCCUGAAACACGAAAACCUGUUCCCGCCCUCUCAACCAACCGUCCAGGUUCAAAAAACGCUGCGAAACAUUCGGCAGGUACUUCAAGAGCGGGUGGACAUACAGCUGGUUCCCUCGAUGAAACGCGAGAUGCAAGAGGUCAUUGACGCGCGAUGAGGGGACAGGGAGAUGGACUGUUUCGCCCUAAUGUUGCUUAAUUAGGAGAACUGAUCAGCACGAGUCCAAACUUACAACUGCAGGCACAAAAGGGGGGAAGCCAUAAGAGGACGAGUUGGGUUCGCAUGUAGGCGAUAUGGCCGCAGCUAUGGGGGGUCAGUAGGGGACCUGGGAGGGGGGAAAGAUGGAAAAAAGCGGGGAAGCGGUGACCCACGUGGAGGAGGGGGUUGGGAAGGGAAUCUCGCGGAUCCACAUGCGGGUGAUGUAAAGGCCGUGACGUGGGGAAUUUGGAAUCCGGGAAAAGGGAGGAAAAGUGGGGACUUGGGGAGUUGCGGCGGACACACGCUCACCUCAGCCGGCCAUGGGCCCAGGCACCCGGUGGAUCUGCAAGGUAGGCUGUUUGACACAGCGGCAGGCUGUUUGGUAAGGACGUAGGUGAUUGGCUGAACGUUCAACCACAAUUCAAUGGACAGUUUCGUGAGCCUGUCAACUCGGAUAGGGCCCUCGGGGAUGUAUACCUGGGAGGACAAAAAAAGUUCUAGUGUUCAACAUUGAGUCCCAACACGUUCAUCGCUGAUCGCUUAAUACACGCCGGGAUUAUUUAUCCUGUAGCCUAAUUUUUACUUCUUGGCGUCCUCGAUUUGCGGUAUUCGGAAUAUAAACCUUCACCUUCAUCAACUGUCUUCUGCCCCGCUUAACUUGGGGAUGGACUGAGGGCCUUGCGCGCGGCGGGACAAGGACACUUAUGCGCAUUGGCUGGGGACAAGUCCCCGCCACAAACACAUUGUCGUUUUAAACCGCCGUAGUCUUGCAUCUCAGCAACGGACAAACAGUGCGUGCGCAACAGGCAGCUCGACACCGGAGCACAAGACUGCUGCCGUCGGAACGGGACGUUAAGGGUAUCUUGUUACGACCCCGGGACAAGUGUGCAGGCCACAUAUCUCCGCACCAUGGAUGGAGCUGUUGCAUGUGUUGCCACGGCGGCGUUGUAUGAUGUCAUAUUCCUAAUGCUGGUUCAGAAUGAGGAGUAAUGCUUGAAGGCGAUAUAGGCUAGGGUUAAGAGGACUAGCACUCUGGGUCAGCACACAGGCGCCCGCGCGUGUGUUAAGAAAUCCGCCACUCCACGCGAGGAAUUGCCAAUCAUGAAACUCAUGUGGAGUGGUAUGUACAUAUUUCUAUAACAGUAACAAUGAAAAAUGAAUUAGUGAUCAUGGUAACAACAAGAAUAAGAAUACUACGAGUAAUGAUAAGGUAAGAAUACGCCUGCCGCCGCCUGGCGUAUGUUAAGGGGUA
rnacentral:lncRNA from 1 species